AGCGAACGCUGGCGGCAGGCUUAACACAUGCAAGUCGAACGCAUCCUUCGGGGUGAGUGGCAGACGGGUGAGUAACACGUGGGAACGUGCCCUUCGGUUCGGAAUAACUCAUGGAAACGUGAGCUAAUACCGGAUACGCCCUUUUGGGGAAAGGUUUACUGCCGAAGGAUCGGCCCGCGUCUGAUUAGCUAGUUGGUGGGGUAAUGGCCUACCAAGGCGACGAUCAGUAGCUGGUCUGAGAGGAUGAUCAGCCACACUGGGACUGAGACACGGCCCAGACUCCUACGGGAGGCAGCAGUGGGGAAUAUUGGACAAUGGGCGCAAGCCUGAUCCAGCCAUGCCGCGUGAGUGAUGAAGGCCUUAGGGUUGUAAAGCUCUUUUGUCCGGGACGAUAAUGACGGUACCGGAAGAAUAAGCCCCGGCUAACUUCGUGCCAGCAGCCGCCGUAACAC
rnacentral:rRNA from 1 species